rnacentral:rRNA from 1 species
AGUAGGGAUCUUCGGCAUGGACGAAAGUCUGACCGAGCAACGCCGCGUGAGCGAAGAAGGCCUUCGGGUCGUAAAGCUCUGUUGUUAGAGAAGAACAUGGGUGAGAGUAACUGUUCACCCCUUGACGGUAUCUAACCAGAAAGCCACGGCUAACUACGUGCCAGCAGCCGCGGUAAUACGUAGGUGGCAAGCGUUGUCCGGAAUUAUUGGGCGUAAAGCGCGCGCAGGCGGUCUCUUAAGUCUGAUGUGAAAGCCCCCGGCUCAACCGGGGAGGGUCAUUGGAAACUGGGAGACUUGAGGACAGAAGAGGAGAGUGGAAUUCCAAGUGUAGCGGUGAAAUGCGUAGAUAUUUGGAGGAACACCAGUGGCGAAGGCGGCUCUCUGGUCUGUUACUGACGCUGAGGCGCGAAAGCGUGGGGAGCAAACAGGAUUAGAUACCCUGGUAGUCCACGCCGUAAACGAUGAGUGCUAAGUGUUAGGGGGUUUCCGCCCCUUAGUGCUGCAGUUAACGCAUUAAGCACUCCGCCUGGGGAGUACGACCGCAAGGUUGAAACUCAAAGGAAUUGACGGGGCCC